CUUCCAAUUUGCCCAGGCUGGUCUCAAACUCCUGAGCUCAAGAGAUGUUCCCAAAGUGUUGGGAUUACAGACCACCGCCCAGCCAACUUCCAAUAUUUUAAUACCUAAAUUAACAACUCUUCUAACACAUUGGCCUCCAUUUUCUCCUUAUCUUCAUCCUUAGUUCCAUAUAUCUCUAACUCUUAUCACCUGAGCUACCUGUUAGCACAGAGAAACUCCAGGUUUCCUCAGCAUUUAAAAAUGGCCUGCCUGGCCAGGUGUAGCGGUUUAUGCCUGUAAUCCCAGCACUUUGGGAAGCUGAGGCAGGAGGAUUGGGACCAGCCUGGGCAACAUCAUGACGCCCUGUCUCUAAAAAAAAAAAAAAAAAAAGUUUUGUUUUUUUGUUUUUUUUAAUUAGCUGGGUGUCGUGCUGCAUGCCUGUUGUCCCAGCUACUCAGGAGGUUGAGGUGAGAGGGUCAUUUGAGCCCAGGAGUUUGAGGUUGCAGUGAGCUAUGACUGCACCACAGCACUCCAGCCCUGGCAAAACAGCGAGACCCUGUCCCAAAACAAAAAGGCCCACCUUCUAGGGUCUUGACUUGGAACUGCUCCUAUGUCCUCAGCUGUCCUCAGUUUUCCUAUUGCCUUGCUCUCAGUAAACCUGUAUCUCACCCUCGUUGAGAUACAGUUUUUUCUGGCUAGCCAUUUUAGCAAACACUCAGGCUACUGCCCUAAAAUCCCUGAGCUCUGUGAAAUUCACCAUUUCUUACUGGCCCCAGGUAAUAGUUAUUCUCUGCCUUAAUUGCUCCCCACAACCAGCUGCAGACAAUAUCUAGAUAAAAUCUGAAAAUUGGCUCCUAAAACAUUCCCUGUCUCAUGUGAGCUUGAGCUCUCACUAUUCUUCACUUCACCUGCUUUGGUCUGUUGACUGAGCCAUGAGCAGUCCCCAUCUCUAGCCAUUCUAGACCUCUGCCCUCAAGAACCAAUUUGGGUCUGUCAUGUGUCUUAACUAUCAGUAGAAGACCAUCCUUCUAUUUACCAAAAACAGGCUGUGUUUUGACAAUUUCCUCCUCUCUCUUAAAAUUCUAUUACAUCUGUUUCUUCCCUCUUAUUUUUUCCUUUACUCUGGGAGAAGAACUGUCUUGCCAAGGUUAAAGUUCCCCUUUGUGUUUUCUCUUCCAUCUCCUCCUCCCUCUUCCAGGAUUGUGACCCUCCCGCUCUUCCCUCUUCUCCCUUUCAACUGCCCAUGCUGUCUUUCUGCAAAAAGGCUCAAGUUUCUGUUAUUCUAAAAAUACUCUCAGCUGUUUACCUGCCUCUAGUUACUUUCCCAUCAUCUCAAAAUGUCUAGAGUGAACAGCCUGAAACUGUUACCCUGCAUAUCCUUACUUCCCACUCAUUUCCUAAUCCCAUGCAAUCUGGUUUUCAUUACAACUUCACCUAAAUACCACUCACUAAAUUUAGUUGGGAGUUUCUGCAGCUUUUGACAUUCGAUUACUAAUUUCCACCUUAGAAGUCUUCUCCUUUAGAUUCUAAAACAUACCAAUCUCUUGGUGCCUAUGCUUCUUCGACCAUCUCUCUUACUGAUUGGCUCUAUAUCCUCUCUCUGCUCCCUAAAUGUAGGUAUGUUCCUCAAGGUUUGUCUCUAGCCUGCUUUUAAUUCCAUUGUUUUCCUUUGGGAUCUACACUGUGGACCUCCUAUCACUUGUAUGUGAAUGAUGGGCCGUCACUAACCUCUCUUAAACUCUAGACUUUUUUUCAUAAUUAUCUGUUUAUCCCAAUAGAACUAAUAACAUUUCCUACCCCACAUACCCCAAACAAAUCCCACUCAUUUAAUGGAACUGUCAUUUUCCCAUUUGCCUAAAUCCAAAAGCUCAGUAUCAAUUCUUUCCUCCAACUGAAAUCCACAUACAAAUAACCGCAAAGUCCCAUAGAUUCCCCAUGGACCAUAGUUCUCUCAUUCACACCCCGCCCCCUUUCCCUUCCUACUAACCUACAAGCUGUGUCAGGACCAUAAUACCUAUGGCUUUCUUUUUCUAAAUUGGCCUUCCUAUCUUAAUCUCUGCUAUUUUAAUCUCCCACAAUUCCCCUAUACAUACCUAUGAUCUAACUCAGAGGGUUUCGACUAGCUGUAGAAUCAUCUGGGGUGCUUUUAAAACAAAGGAAAGCCAAGGCCCACUCUCAGAGAUUCUGAUUUAACUAGCUUAAGGCGGGGUCUAGGCACAGACUUUUGUUCAUUGCUGAGGGUGGUGUCUUUUGCUCUCAGCUGCUUUUAAUGUGCGGCUAAGGCUGAGAACCACUGCUAGCCAAACUGGAACUGAGUUUUCUCAGACUUGCAUCUUGUUUGCUUUGUCUGGCUCCCUCCUCAUGGCACUUAUUUCUCUGCAAUGGACUAUCAUUAAUCCAUUGUGCUUUAACAAAUGUGUUCAAUUUUAUAACACAAAUAAUCUGAAAUUUUGUUCAACCUCCACUCCCCUUAAUCAACGUCUCUUUCCUUCCUUCCAGCCAUUUACCACGUGUACAAAUGCAGCAAGUAGUUUUUAUUUUUAUUUUAUUUAUUUAUUUUUUUGAGAUGGACUCUCGUUCUGUUGCCCCGGCUGGAGUGCAGUGGCAUGAUCUCGGCUCACUGCAACCUCUGCCUCCAGACUUCAAGAGAUUCUCCUUCCUCAGCCUCUUGAGUAGCUGGGAUUAAAGGCGCACACCACCACGCCCAGCUAAUUUUUGUAUUUUUAGUAGAGACGGGGUUUCACCAUGUUGGUCAGACUGGUCUCGAACUCCUGACCUCCUGAUCCACCUGCCUCGGCCUCCCAAAGUGCUGGGAUUACAGGCAUGAGCCACCGCGCCCAGCCCAGCAAGUAGUUAAUACAAUUUACUUCAUUUUCACAAAUAGAUCAUGACUUUAGGCAAGUAACCUCUCUUAACCUGGACUUCUCAUCUCUAAAAUAAAAAGACUGGAUUAGAUGACCUUUAAGUUUCCUUCUACUAGGAAGGAAAUAAUGAUUCUAUGAUUAUUUUAUCAUAAAAAUUACUAUUCUGAUUUUAUCAAAUUAUAAUUUUGAUUAUUUUAUAUCGACUAAGUAGAUUCUUGGACUAAAAUAUUAUUGGACUAAACAAAGCAUCAUUGGUGAAUGAUGCUUCUAGUAUACUGUACCUAAAUAUCCAGUUCAAACAGUUCUAGCUUCUCUGAUAGUUUCUGCAAUAGAAUUAUUGCCAUAUCUAUUGUGAUUCUGUCUGCAAGACGACAUCCAUCUCUUUAAUAAUGCAAAAUAUACAAUUUAAAGCAGCUUCUAAUCACUGUAAUCUUACUGCAGCCAGAAAAAUGAUAAGAAAUACCAUCACAUGAGUUCUUAAAUCUAGAUGCCAAGUUACUGUUCCUUUCACAAACUGAUUAAAUCCAUUUGUUCUAUUAUUACCAUAUAAACCCAGCCAGAGGAAACACAAGCUCCACUUUCAAACUGUUAAUUUUAAUAUUAACAUAUGAAAAAUAAUCACGGCAAUGAAGUCAUUUACUACUUAUUCCUGAUAGCUAAGCAUGAAUAAUAUAUGCAGAAAAACAUUUCAUUUCCUAAAUUAUGGUCAAAUAUAUUAUGAAGGAAAAAUUUUCUGGUAAAGAGGAUGGAAUAGUAAGGGCUAAUUGCAGCAGAAAGACACUGAUUGAGUUGGCUGCUGAGAAAUGAGGACAGUUUUUCUUCUCAAGCCAUGACUUUGUUUGUACAUCUUCAAAAUGAAGACAGUGAGCUACAUAAAUCAGUUCCAAAGUUGCCUGAUACAAUCACCCAAAAAGCUUUUUGAAAAUAACGAAUACCAGGCCCCCACCCCCGGAGAUUAUUCUAAUACAGGUCUGAGCUAUGACACACACUUCUGAAUUUUUAAUUUUUAAACUAGAUAUCUAUUUCUUUUCAUACAUGAUUGAGAAACAUUAAGAUAAACUCUAAGAUAUAUUUCUAGUUCUAGAAUUCUACUGUAUACAGAAUAAUGCCCCUAUGAGGUGUUCAAUAAUAGCAAAAUGGCUUAGUAAUAAUCUGAGAGACUACUAUAAGAAUCAAUAGCUAUCAGGUAAGUAUAUACAUGGCUAUUUUGAUUAUAGCUAAUCAGUGAAGUAAUGGAAAAAACAACCAUCCAACCAUCAAUUAGCCAAAAGGACUUAAAAAUUUUGUUUUCAACAUAUUUAAAAACACCAACACUCUUGCCAAUUAAAAAGAAAAUGUAUAGUGAGAGUUUAGGAUGAGAACUGCUUUUAGACACUUUUCCAGUUUGUUUCAAUAUUUCAAUAUAUUUCAAAAGGGAUUGUUUUUUAAUGAGAUAUCUAUCUAUAGAUAUCGAUAGAUAGUCUGCUACGAAAUACACCACUCCAUUAAAAAAAGAUUUAGGAAAAAUGGAUAAUUUCAAAAAUUAAAUCCUCUGGAAAUUAAUCACCUGAGUCUGGUUUCAUUAUCGAUUUUAGGAUAAAAACAUAGUUUUAAACUUAUUUUUCACUUUAAAGACCAUUAUUUUUAAAGCUUUAAUUUUUAUUUUUUAGUAAUAAUGGAAAUAUUUUGUGGUUUGAAUUUUGGAAACCAUGUAAUUAUAAUCCUAUAUUUGCAGAUUCACUUUAGGUCUUCACACACAAAAAAGUCUACUUUUUCACAUUCCAUUUUUUCUGCUAGGUUACAUUUUAUAAACUCUGUAAACAGGAAACUACUCAAUUACAAAAGUCCUAUGUUGGUUUAUUCACUAUUAAACUAUCUAAAUAAGGCUUGUUUGAAAUGAAAAAAUUGGCAGUCAGAAAAUAUACUGGAAAGGAACCAGGUAACAAAAACAUCCAUUCUGUCAAGCUGUACUAGUAGGGGAAGAGGGACAAAUGUGUGGAAUAAAAAGGUUAUCCCAUCUGUUUGGCAUGUUGUUUUUCAUUCAACAGUAUUAAAUAAGUGGCAGCGGCAUUGUAAAAAAUUUCAGCUGAUGCUUUCAAAGUCUAAGCACUUUAAAAUGAUGAUCAGCAUUAGGUUCAAGAGCCUAGGGCCCAUAAGCUCUUAUGAGGACACACUCUUAUAUUUCUUCUUCCUAGGUUUAAACCAUCACAAAGGAGGACAUUUCGAAUCAGUGUUUAUGCUUUGCCACCUGACAAGCCUCUUAGAAAUCUGAACCUCUAACCGAUCGUUCCUUCCAAGUACAGACUUGCCAUUAUGCCAGAGUUCAUAUACAGUCCUCGAAGCAGCAGACCAGCAUCUUAAUAUUUUUCAUGUAUUCUGCAUAUAUAUAGCCAGAAGUUAAAACUCCACAGCAUACUUCAUUCUCAUAAAAGUUAUAAAUUUCUUUCAGUAAAAGCUACUGCUUCUUAGUCUGGUUAUUACAGCUAAAGACAGCUCUGACUCCAACUAAUUAUACUAAGGGUCUGAAUAAUACCGGAAAAAAGCCCCAAAGAGUAUUUUGAAGAAGUCUGUGUUCAUAUACUUCAUUAAGAAGCCACAUCUCAAUGAAAAUACUCUAUAAAUAUGAAAGGACCAGUGAUAACAUCACAUAACUUGAAUAUCAGAGGAAAACACUCAAGUUCACAUUUUUAAGUGCUACAGAUCAUGAAGUAGCCUCCAAAACAACUAUUUACUUUUAAAAAUCCUCCUGCUUUCAAAGCAUAAAGGAAAUAUUUGAUGGAUUAAAUAUCACAUUGCCAACUAAUAGGUUUAGCGGCUUGAUGGAAAAGGACUAAAACAAGUUUCUACCAAUUAUACCUUGUCUAUAUAAAACAAAGUCAAAGCCUAUUUACAAAGAACAAAUACGUAGUCUUAAACUAACAGCCGAGCCAUCCAUGAAUAAUGACCAAAACAAAAAGCUGGAUAAGAGCUUUGAUAACCUGGGUUCAAAUUAUGUCAGUAUCUUAUUCUCAAAUGCAAAGAAUUAUUUUCAAAUGCAGAUAAUGACUGAUGUAUCACUUAGGGAGUUAGUGAGACUGAGGACUCACAUGAAUAAAAUUUUAUCAAACUUAAAAACGGUGUAUUCUGAGGACUCAAAUGACCAAAUAUUUUAUCAGACCCAAAGAUUCCAGCUAUGUAGUGGUUUCACCAGCCUAAAAAAUAAGAUUUAAAACACUUUUUCUACGUAAAAUUUUAGGCCUUCAGGUUUCUUAUUGCACAGGACUUGAUGAGGUGUAAUUUGGUCAGGCCACAUUAGACUUACGAAACAAGUGAAAAGACAGGGACAGGAAUGUUUUUGAAAUGUCUCUGAUACUGUGAAUUAUUCCCUUGGUAACUUCUAGAAUGCUUUAUUAAAGUGACAGUACCAGCGACUCCUAGCAUAUCUACAGAACUAAGUUCAUUAAGUCUAGCUGAUAAAUCUAACUUUUUAUUAACUUAAAAGUUAGGAUAAACAUUUAAAAAAGCUUCUACUGUAGAUAUGCCCCAUUUCAAGAAACUAUAAUAUACACAAAACCUCAUGCUUACAAAAUAGUCAAAGUAGGGAGAGAGUAUUACAAAAAAUUUUUACUGUACAAAAUAACUCACUUGAGCAUUUGUUAAAAGAUAAUUUGGAUUACAAAAUUUUGAUUAAUGCACUUUCCAGGAAAUACUAGGUUGGUGCAAAAGUAACUGUGUUUUUGCCAUUAAAAAUGACCCAAAACUGCAAUUACUUUUGCACCAACCUAAUUAUCCAGUUCAUAAUUUGGGCUCACCUAUGUCUAGAUUCAACAUCUAUAGGGAAAGAAGUAAAAUGGGUGUGUAAGAAGAAAAAGUCAAAGCAAAUAAGCAAAAAUCAUCAUAAUAGUACAGGCUAAUAAAUGAAGAAAUCGAGAGACAGUUUCAUUAAUUAAUAUAUUUUCUGCAUUAUAGUUAACAUAUGUACUUUCUUCGUGUCACCUUAUUUUCCGUUA
rnacentral:lncRNA from 10 species